UACGUAGGGCGCGAGCGUUGUCCGGAUUUAUUGGGCGUAAAGAGCUCGUAGGCGGCUUGUUGCGUCGACCGUGAAAACCCGCGGCUUAACUGCGGGCUUGCGGUCGAUACGGGCGGGCUGGAGUUCGGUAGGGGAGACUGGAAUUCCUGGUGUAGCGGUGAAAUGCGCAGAUAUCAGGAGGAACACCGGUGGCGAAGGCGGGUCUCUGGGCCGAUACUGACGCUGAGACGCGAAAGCGUGGGGAGCAAACAGG
rnacentral:rRNA from 1 species